AAAGAUAGGACUUGGGAGUCUGGCCUGAGUUUCCCUGUAUUUCAGGCUAUUUUUGAAAAUUCCCAAAUGCCAUACCCUUUCGUUUCCAACUUUCCAUAGAGACCAGUUAACUGUUGUGAAAUUCCGAGCUCCAAGAAGACUUCGUUCUAUACAGUCAGAUUUCUCGCUUUAUUUUCCGGUAAUCACUUCCUUCUUCCCCUUAGGAAUUGUAAAUAAAGGAAUAAUUAAAAAUCACUUUGCAUCUUCAGAAUUCUGCAUCUGAUUUAUUUAUUUAUUGCUUUCAGGAUUGAUUUUAUGGUCAAGUACCAUUUUUAGUGCACAAGAUUUAUAUUUACUUGUUUUUCAUUUUGCUGAUAUAUGUGUUAUUGGUGGAUCAAUCCAUAUUAUUGAUUUGUGCUCGCUUUAAUUUUUAUUUGAAAAAGGAAAAAAAAAAUGUAUUAGUUUCAAAUCUCAUGUAAAAAUUAGUGCAAUUGGUGAUUGUAAUUUACGUUUCUUUUUGUCCUUUGUGACUUUAUUAAAAAUUCUUGCUGAAUUUUUGUUGUAAAAUUUGUAAGUUCCCUUAUUUAAUCCUCUUUCAUUAUUUUGAACUAUUUUCCUGUCAUGUAAUUGAAAUCAUGCCCUCAUAUUUCUCUUUUUGUUUAGUUAAUCGGGUAGUUAAAAAUUCUUCUUUUGGUUGAAGACACACCCGAAGGCAGAAAUUAUUAAAACAGGGAUAAUUUAAACAUGGUAAGACAAUUUCGCUUUAUAGACAUUGUUAUAAAGUUAAUUGCUACAUUUUUUUCUGGAUUAGAAGUGAGUUUUGAUAAUUUCCAAAUUGUCUUUUCAGUCAGCUCUCUUCAAUUUCCACUCUUUCCUCACAGUGGUGUUGUUAGGCAUCUGUACCUGCACUUAUUUGAAGAUGCAAUUUCCAGCUCUUCUUGAGCAGAGAACUGGGUAUGUCUUUUUGGUAUAUGGUCCCAUAAUGUGCAAAAUAUUAAUUCUUUAAACCAGUUUUGUAUAUCAUUGAUUUUUUGAUCAUUAAUAUGAUUGAAUUUCUCGAUGGCUGGGAAUCUGAUUUCUGAAUGCUCGAAAGUUUUGUGUCAGAAAUUGAUAAUUGAACACUAUAUUGAUUGUCUGUUCUCAUUUAAUGAUCUAGUGAAAAUUUCAUACGGAUUUAUAGACGUUUUGCAAUCUCUACUUCAUCAACAAAUGCUUUUGUAGAUCAAUUAAUUUAACCAAAGAUAAGUUUUCAUAUUGUUCAACUUGGUUUCGUUAACAUACUAUGUUGCAACAUAUGUUCAAAUAUAGAAUGCUAGUCAACGUGAUCAUUAUAUGGUAUAGCAUUCUAACUGACUCCAGUAGUUAAGCAAGCUAUACUCAGAUAUAUACGUUUUGAGGUAUUUCUCAAGCUAAGAAGCUUUUAUGAUGACUAAGGAAAAGGUUAAUAUCUGAACCAUCAGGCCACUAAAUUGACUAGCAUGUUUACGAUCACUUGGGUUAUUUCUCUUAAAUUGCUAUCUUUAGGCUCAACUAAGGAAAGAGGAGUAAGUUAAAAUGAUCACGCCUAUUAGAGAAAAAACUUGCCACCUUCUUUUUUCCCAAUCACAUAAACAUCUAUCCAUGUUGUUGCAAGAUUUCCACCAUUUACCAAUUUCUCUUUUGAUAGCUUCUACUACCGCUACAGACCUUCCUCUCUCCCUUAACUUAUGGUUAAGGACCACAACUCUGCAAGUAUAGCCACUAAAAUCACCAUUGCAGCUAUAUCUGCCAUCAUCCAAGCUUUGUAAACCAACCCCACUUGGCUACCUUCCUAUAAGGUAUUAUCCAUUUUUUAAUUGAAGGUGCAGAUUAUUUGCAUAAAUGAAACAUAUUUGAAGCUUGACUAAUGUGCUUAUAAGCUCAACUUGUUGAAUUGAGGAUGAUAAAUUACGCUAGAGCUCAAUAAUUUGAGCUUCUUCCUAAGUAUGGAAUCCACGGAUGGGGGAAGUUAUAAUAAAGUUCACAAGUCCUCAAAUUUUAAUGAUGGAAUAGAUGGAAGGUUAUGAACUUCCGUUUUGUGGUUUUGAGUGUAAUUUUAACACAUUCAUCACAUCUUCGCAAAUAUUGUACGAAAUAGUUGUAGCUGUGUAAAGACAGUAUGUAAUGAUAAAUUUAGCUCCUAUUUGUUUCCCAUUAUUUGGUUAUUAAAAUGAAAAAUAUGACCGUUAUCCAUCAUAUCAAGCCAUCAUAUUUGAAUUUUUAUCCCUUAUGUGGGAUCCGUAACAGCUAUAUUUUUCAUUCUCAUUAUUACAUUAAUGAGAAACAAACGGGGAGUUAGUAAGAUAUAGCUUAAUCACAUUUGAAAGGCUCGGUCUCGCUAAUAAAACAGUAGCACUUUAAAUGCAAUCACCUGGAAGUCUUUUUGUCCCAUAUAUAUCAUCUAUACUUUUAGUUGAGUGUAAGAUAGAACUUAAAGCUUGCUUGGCACAUAUUUUUCCAACCAAAAAAUGUUUUUUUUUUUUUUUUUGAGAAUGUGUGAUUGAAAAUGAUUUUAAAAGAAUCUCUGACAAACAAGCCUUUGGGUAAGUUUUUCAAGUAAGAUGUGAGAAUGUGAUCUUAAAAACCUUUUUUUCAUUUGUUUUUGUUUCUGUAAUAUGAUUUGAAAGAGGGCAGAUAGAUUUAUCCUGGUUGGUCUAAAUGAACAGGACUAAACCAUUACCACCUCAUUAACAUCAUGUCCUUUGUCAAAUUGGGACAUGACGCAUGCAGAAAAGGUAAAAUCUGCUUAGAUUGUUUUUCUCCCUUCCGCUUCCCUAUCAAAGUGGAGGGAUGCAAAAUGAUAUGCCUAAUAAUAUCUUUUUAUUUUUGUAUAAUAUGUGCCUUAUCCAACUGUGCAAAUAAACCUUUACAAAUUUCUUCUGCCAAUUUAUGGCAGUGAUAUUUGUUUACUGAGACCUUGGGACUUUGGGUUAACUUACGGCCUCAUCUUUUGAGGAAAGGUAGAGUCCCUAAAAUAGGCACUUGUCAAACUCGGCCCUUGCUUGAGCCCUAUUUUAUCAAAAACUCAUUUAUAAAAAAAUAAUAAUAAUAAAAUAAAAUUAAAAAAAAAAAUUUCAUUUUCAACUACACAUUCUUCAAUAAAAUAAUUUUACACGUAAAUUGAAAUUCUUUUUCUUAUUUUUUAACUACGUAUUCUCCAAAAAACACUAUUCCAAUAUCCCCCCGGCCCCCCAAGAAAAAAAUGGGGCUCAAACAAGGGCUGAAUUUGCCUACUGGUUGAGUUGCAUCAAAUCAGGAUAAUAAGAAAGAUCGUACAGCUUGUACUGGACUCAUAGAAUCGCUGGGGCCUAUAUAAUUUUCUGUUUAAACUUGUAUGCUUGACUUGUUUUCUCUACAGCCAUACACUUGGCACUAACUGAUAUGGUUGUGGAUUUUCUGCAAUCAUGAUAUAUUUAUGCAAUUCCCAGUGUCAGCAGAGAAAUAAAUUGCACCAUGUUAGCUUAUUUCUGUUCCUCUAGCUUUCUUAUACAUAUCAUUAUAUUUAUUUGUGUUUAUGUAUUAGGUUUAUUUUAUUUCAAUUUUUCUUUGAUUAAAACUUGUUCUUAUUCAUGCUAAAAGUACCAAUGUGGCAGGUUUGUAGGUGUCUUCUGGAAGGCUGCUAGAAUAGGUACGAUUUACUUGAACACUACAUGUAACAAUGCUGGUCUUGAAGGAAUUCAUGGUUCAUAAUGUAUCCUUUUUGAAUUUAUUCUGGAAAAAAUAUAUCCCUUUUGAAUUUAUUCUGGAAAAAGUAACAGAUAAUCUAUUUGAUCUGUUUGUUAAUUUUCUCUUACCUGCUCUUGUUUCUGACAUCAUUCUUUGUUUCAACUUCUCACCAGGAAAAAGCAAACUGGUUGUGUAUUUAUGAAUAUAUUCAUGUACUCUUAGAACUUCUUGGGCUGCUUUUUUGUUCAAGACUUUUCAUCUGAAAUUUUAUCUUGAGAAAAUGAUCAGUUAAGAAGAGCAAAACAUUCCUCAGUUGUUUUAUUGGGGUUCAUUUAAAACUUAAGGGUAAUUGCUGCUGGUUGAAAGACUUUGAUGGCAGUUAGGUGUUCCUUACAUUUUUUGGUUUUAAAUUUUGGAAUAAUAGUGGACACUUGUUAUUUUAGUUUUAAAAUUUUCUUGGUUAAUAGAAAAACAAGAAAAAGAUUGAUGAUAUUUAUUGCUAUAGUUUCCAUCUAUGUGUGACCAUUGAAGGUUAACUGAUGCUUGUCAUAUGAAUUUUGUAUGAAGUUUAACGUAUGCUUUGAAAUUCGAAGUUUAACGUAUGCUUUGAAAUUCUGACACUGUUAUAUAAUUCCUUGAAUAGGCGAGAGAUUGAGUCCUUGGGUGGCUGUAGGAUGCUUCACAAUGGGUGUCUCAAUAAUCUUCUUCUAAGAGGAGAGCUGUUUACAAGUACUCCAACAACCAUUUCAAUCCUGUAGUUGUUUUAUACUGCUUCAUGCAGCUGAAAGCAAAAUUAGUGGACUUGUUUGAAUGCCACAGAUGUGUUCUUUAUUGUGACUUGUAUGUUGUCAUGUUUUUAGUGCGAAAUUUCCUUUGAUUAUUCAAAGACAUUUCUGCUGAUCCUUGUAAACACUACACAAUUUUUUUUCCCUCACUUCUAGGUACGUUUUUGCUUUUCAUGCCAGCAUCUUUCCGUGUCUGGUGCGUGGGAGGAUACAAGUGAACAACAGCAAACUAUGCUUUGUUCUCAAUAAAUUUGGAGUUGGCUACAUAACAUUUUCUUUGCCACUUCUUUCAGUUGGUCGCUAGUUCUAUUGAACGAACUAAAGCAACAUGAUGCUUAGCAACUAAAAUAAGCUAUCCUUACCUUUCCUAAAGCGUUCUACCUAGAUCAAUUCACUCUUAUGAAGGAAGUCUCUUUAGGUUUCUGCAUGACAUGUCCCAACUGGUGCUGCCUCUGUCAUAAAUGUUCAUUUAUUAUUUAUCCAUUUUAGUAUGAGGUGGAAAAUAAGUAAUUGUAUUUCAUUAUAGGGGUGCUACCUAUCAAAAAAAGAAAAAUUAUAGGGGUGUAAGUUGAUCCCUUCUGAAAAGUUGGAGGAUGAAUUAAUACCAUUUAGAAGUGUACUAAUUCUUGCCCUCCCUUUGAUCUCUCCACAACUUUAGGGUUCUUGGUUAUUUACUGUUGAAUGUGGACUGCAUCCUUGUUUUCUAAUAAAUGACUUGUGGAUUCCUUUGACAUAAACCCUCUUUAAAUCAUAGGCUGUUUCACACAACUGUCUCUAACCUCUCUCAUGCUAAUUCAUUUCUAGGACAACAAGAGGCAUGAUAACCUCUUUGGAAACAGGAGGUUGCCAUUCCCCAAUUCGAGCUGAAACCAAAACCCUUCCCGAGUUGGGAUUGCUGGCUGGAAGUUAGCACCGACAGCUCCUAUAGAAGGAAAUGUACUCAUUGAGCAUAUUAAUCAUGAACCUUCAAAACCAUGUUAUUAUACACAACAACAAAGUCAGUCUUGUUCUCAAUAAAUUUAGGGUCGGUUGUAUGAAUCAUUUUUCUUCAUUUGUUUCAUUGCUAGAUUUGUCUGUGUUAUCUAACCAUAUUGUUAGCAUCUACAACAGGUCAUGUUAGUUUUGGACCUUUGGAUUGACCCUUCCUCUUCUGACUCUCAUCUUGUGAAGGAUAGCUGUAUCAGAAACAUUUCAUGUAGAGGAAAUAAUUAAAUUGCAAUUAACAUACUGUCACCUGUAUGAUAAAGAGGUCAUAUUUUCCAUAUAGGAAAUUCCCUUGUUGAUUAAUCAUUUUUUUUUUCGUGGUGAACACUGAACAAAGAGG
rnacentral:lncRNA from 1 species